rnacentral:rRNA from 1 species
AUGGCGGAUCUGGACUUCCAGAAGCAGAUGGAGGAGGCUGCCAAGGAGAGGAGCAGCAUCGCGCAAGCGCUGCUCGGGAUCCAGCGCUCCCUCGACAAGAUUGAGCCAGCGGUGUCGCAAAUGGAGCCGCUGCUGCAAUCUCUCGAGCCGAUGGUCAACGAUCUGUCGGCCUGGCGUCCUGGGGUGGACGCGGCCGUCGGGCGUCUCCAAGAAGAUCUUGGGGACAUUCGCGCGCAACUCGCCAAGAUCGCGCUCGGCGCGAACGCAUCGGGAAAGGCGCCGGGUCACUCAUCCUCGACGACGGCGGACGCGCCGUUGCACGACUCCGGCGCAAGUGGUGACGACCACGGGCAGAGUGGCCGCCGCUAUGCAACACCAAAUCGGGUCCUGCCGCUUGGGGAACCAAUCCUCCAGGCGCCGGCCCCGACCAAUGGUACUUUUCGGACACCCUUUCCCUCUGUUCCUAUCCCAAAUCCUUAUGAACAGGGCAACACUACGGGGUUCUCGGGUGGUAGAUCGGGCACUACUAGGGUUGAAUGCCCGGAGUUUAACGGGGACAAUCCCACGGGGUGGAAAAUUCGUUGUGAAGCAUGUUUUAGGAUAGGGGCAGUGGAUCCUUCGGUCUGGGUAGAUACCGCUGUGGUCAAUUUUACUGGAGCAGCAGCUUUGUGGUUAGAGUGGUCUCAGGCUCAUGUUAAAUCCACUAGUUGGGAUCCUUUUGUUGCAUCUGUCUUAGAAAAAUUUGGUAGGUCUGAGUUCCAACAACUCCUCCGAAAAUUUUCUCGGCUUAAGCAGUAUGGGACGGUGUUAGAAUAUGCAGAGCAGUUCAAUGUGGUGAUGCAUAGUUUACUGGCUCACCACGGGUCAUGGGAUCCGUUGUUUUUCACCACUCAUUUUUUGGAAGGGUUGCAACAUGAUAUUAAAAUUGCUGUUAUGCUUCAUCGUCUGCAAGAUUUGGAUACUGCUGUCGCUCUUGCUGAAUUACAGGAAGAGGUGGUGGAGCUGACGCGACAAGAGAAUGAGGCAGUGGCAGCGGCUCGCGGGUCGGCUACAAGUACUCGCACUGGGCGCUUUUUAGCGCGACCUCCUCUGCCAGUGGUGCUGCCCUCGAUUCCGAGUACUUCAAAAGCACAACUCUCUCGCCAGGGACACCUCCGACCGAUGGAAGACGCAGUCCAGAUUCGGCACGUAUUCCCAUCGCUAGCGCCUCAGUGGACGACAAGCUCCGAACAUUGCGGGCUUAUCGCAAAGCACGCGGGCUCUGUUUCACGUGCGGUGAACGCUGGGGGCCGGGUCAUGUGUGCACCGCUACGGUUCCUUUGCAUGUUGUGGAGGAACUGGUGGGUCUGCUGA